GAUGAAGAACGUAGCGAAAUGCGAUAAGUAAUGUGAAUUGCAGAAUUCAGUGAAUCAUCGAAUCUUUGAACGCACAUUGCGCCCGCUAGUAUUCUGGCGGGCAUGCCUGUCCGAGCGUCAUUUCAACCCUCAAGCCCCCGGGCUUGGUGUUGGGGAUCGGCGAGCCUCCGCGCCCGCCGUCCCCUAAAUCUAGUGGCGGUCUCGCUGUAGCUUCCUCUGCGUAGUAGCACACCUCGCACUGGGAAACAGCGCGGCCACGCCGUUAAACCCCCAACUUCUGAACGUUUGACCUCGGAUCAGGUAGGACUACCCGCUGAACUUAAGCAUAUCAAUAAGCGGAGGA
rnacentral:misc_RNA from 1 species